rnacentral:lncRNA from 1 species
GAAUCAUGGAAAAGUCUUGGCCCUUGGCAAGGAAUAUUUCAUUCAGAGCCCUUAUCUCCUUGACCUGCUGCUCCAGUCUCCUGGCUCAUCUAUAAUUUUCCCAUUUGUAGGGCAGUUGCAGGCUGGCCCAGGGCAGACCCAACUGAGGGCAAUGGUCCUUAGAGCUAUGCCCACCCUGACGUGGAUGCCUGGUGAGAGGCUUGUGAACAGAGAAGACUAACUGUGGAGAUGCUGACCCAUUUAGCUUUUACCUGUCCCAGGAUGGCUGGAGAUCUCUG